rnacentral:rRNA from 1 species
UUCAGAGGGGGCAAGCGUUGUUCGGAAUUACUGGGCGUAAAGCGUGCGUAGGCGGUCCGCGAAGUCUGAUGUGAAAGCCCCGGGCUCAACCUGGGAACUGCAUUGGAAACUAACGGGCUCGAGUGUGGCAGAGGGGGGUGGAAUUCCACGUGUAGCAGUGAAAUGCGUAGAGAUGUGGAGGAACACCGAUGGCGAAGGCAGCCCCCUGGGCUAACACUGACGCUCAGGCACGAAAGCGUGGGGAGCAAACAGG